rnacentral:rRNA from 1 species
AAUAGAUACCCCGGUAGUCCAUGCCGUAAACGUUGGGCACUAGGUGUGGGGGACAUUCCACGUUUUUCCGCGCCGUAGCUAACGCAUUAAGUGCCCCGCCUGGGGAGUACGGCCGCAAGGCUAAAACUCAAAGGAAUUGACGGGGGCCCGCACAAGCGGCGGAGCAUGCGGAUUAAUUCGAUGCAACGCGAAGAACCUUACCAAGGCUUGACAUGGACCGGAUCGCCGCAGAAAUGUGGUUUCUCCUUUUGGGGCCGGUUCACAGGUGGUGCAUGGUUGUCGUCAGCUCGUGUCGUGAGAUGUUGGAUUAAGUCCCGCAACGAGCGCAACCCUCGUUCCAUGUUGCCAGCGCGUAAUGGCGGGGACUCAUGGGAGACUGCCGGGGUCAACUCGGAGGAAGGUGGGGACGACGUCAAAUCAUCAUGCCCCUUAUGUCUUGGGCUUCACGCAUGCUACAAUGGCCGGUACAAAGGAUUGCGAUACUGUGAGGUGGAGCUAAUCCCAAAAAGCCGGUCUCAGUUCGGAUUGGGGUCUGCAACUCGA